rnacentral:misc_RNA from 1 species
CAGCUCAAACUACACCAUUAUUGCCGACUUGGUGAGAAAUAAAUGCAAUAAAAAUGAACGGUCUCGCCUUGUUUUCGGGUUUAGCAGAAGGUGGUAAUUUCCUACUCGAAGGGGCGCUCUAGCAUCUGAGUUACUGAAUAACAAUGUAGUUUAAUGAUUUGGCUCAAUUCUUUCUUGAUUGCUUCAUGAAGGAAUUUGUCUUAAUAGCUGCUCUAGAGGUUCUUGAUAUAAAUCUGCAAACCAGCCAAAUAAAAGGGCAAGUGUGUAGCAGUCUCUAUUUCUUUUGAAGACAACUUUGUGUAUAUUCUUGUCUCUUUUCUCUCAGCAAUCUGCUUCCAAAUGGACUGGAUUUAUCUUGCAAGUGAAUGGGGCUGAAAAUUCUUUGUUGUUUUAGCAUACAUUUCUCCUAAACAUGAGGAAAUUUAGUAGAGGUUCUGGCGUAAUGCUGAACUUCACAGAUAAUUUUACUCUGUAAACCGUGUUUUAGUUUUAUGAGAAUCCUUGUCUGCUGCUUAGAAUUUGUUUGGUUGAAUU